rnacentral:rRNA from 1 species
GCAAGUCGAGCGGUAAGGCCUUUCGGGGUACACGAGCGGCGAACGGGUGAGUAACACGUGGGUGACCUGCCCUCCACUCUGGGAUAAGCCCGGGAAACUGGGUCUAAUACCGGAUAUGACCUUCUCCUGCAUGGGGGUUGGUGGAAAGUUUUUCGGUGGGGGAUGGGCCCGCGGCCUAUCAGCUUGUUGGUGGGGUGAUGGCCUACCAAGGCGACGACGGGUAGCCGGCCUGAGAGGGCGACCGGCCACACUGGGACUGAGACACGGCCCAGACUCCUACGGGAGGCAGCAGUGGGGAAUAUUGCGCAAUGGGCGAAAGCCUGACGCAGCGACGCCGCGUGGGGGAUGACGGCCUUCGGGUUGUAAACCUCUUUCGCCAGGGACGAAGCGUGAGUGACGGUACCUGGAUAAGAAGCACCGGCCAACUACGUGCCAGCAGCCGCGGUAAUACGUAGGGUGCGAGCGUUGUCCGGAAUUAUUGGGCGUAAAGAGCUCGUAGGCGGUCUGUCGCGUCGGUCGUGAAAACUUGGGGCUUAACCCUGAGCUUGCGGUCGAUACGGGCAUGACUGGAGUUCGGCAGGGGAGACUGGAAUUCCUGGUGUAGCGGUGAAAUGCGCAGAUAUCAGGAGGAACACCGGUGGCGAAGGCGGGUCUCUGGGCCGAUACUGACGCUGAGGAGCGAAAGCGUGCGGAGCGAACAGGAUUAGA